AGCGAACGCUGGCGGCAGGCUUAACACAUGCAAGUCGAGCGGGCACUUUCGGGUGUCAGCGGCGGACGGGUGAGUAACGCGUGGGAACGUGCCCUCUGGUUCGGAAUAACUCAGGGAAACUUGAGCUAAAACCGGAUACGCCCUUUUGGGGAAAGGCUUGCUGCCGGAGGAUCGGCCCGCGUCUGAUUAGCUAGUUGGUGAGGUAACGGCUCACCAAGGCGACGAUCAGUAGCUGGUCUGAGAGGAUGAUCAGCCACACUGGGACUGAGACACGGCCCAGACUCCUACGGGAGGCAGCAGUGGGGAAUAUUGGACAAUGGGCGCAAGCCUGAUCCAGCCAUGCCGCGUGAGUGAUGAAGGCCUUAGGGUUGUAAAGCUCUUUUAUCCGGGACGAUAAUGACGGUACCGGAGGAAUAAGCCCCGGCUAACUUCGUG
rnacentral:rRNA from 1 species